CCUACGGGAGGCAGCAGUGGGGAAUAUUGCACAAUGGGCGAAAGCCUGAUGCAGCAACGCCGCGUGAAGGAAGAAGGGUUUCGGCUCGUAAACUUCUAUCAACAGGGACGAAAGAAAUGACGGUACCCGAAUAAGAAGCCCCGGCUAACUACGUGCCAGCAGCCGCGGUAAUACGUAGGGGGCAAGCGUUAUCCGGAAUUACUGGGUGUAAAGGGUGAGUAGGCGGCAUGGUAAGCCAGAUGUGAAAGCCUUGGGCUUAACCCGAGGAUUGCAUUUGGAACUAUGAAGCUAGAGUGCAGGAGAGGAAAGCGGAAUUCCUAGUGUAGCGGUGAAAUGCGUAGAUAUUAGGAAGAACACCAGUGGCGAAGGCGGCUUUCUGGACUGAAACUGACGCUGAGGCACGAAAGCGUGGGGAGCGAACAGGAUUAGAUACCCCAGUAGUC
rnacentral:rRNA from 1 species